GGAGUGAUUAGAACUGUACGCGUUAGGA
rnacentral:piRNA from 1 species